UCGAACGAGAAAGUCCCGGCUCGCCGGGAUGAGUAGAGUCGCGCACGGGUGAGUAACGCGUGGGUAAUCUGCCUUUAAGCUUGGGAUAACACUGCGAAAGCGGUGCUAAUACCGGAUAUGCUCACAGUUUGAAAUGUCUGUGGGGAAAGGUGGCCUCUGACAUAAGCUACCACUUAAAGAUGAGCCCGCGUACCAUUAGCUUGUUGGUGGGGUAAUGGCCUACCAAGGCUACGAUGGUUAGCUGGCCUGAGAGGGCGGCCAGCCACACUGGAACUGAGACACGGUCCAGACUCCUACGGGAGGCAGCAGUGGGGAAUAUUGCGCAAUGGGGGAAACCCUGACGCAGCGACGCCGUGUGAGUGAUGAAGGCUUUCGGGUCGUAAAGCUCUGUCGGAUGGGACGAAUAAGGAUUGCGUAAAUAAUGCAGUCCGAUGACGGUACCGUCGAAGGAAGCACCGGCUAACUCCGUGCCAGCAGCCGCGGUAAUACGGAGGGUGCAAGCGUUGUUCGGAAUUAUUGGGCGUAAAGAACGUGUAGGCGGGUCUGUGUGUCAGAUGUGAAAGCCCUCGGCUCAACCGAGGAAGUGCAUCUGAAACUGCAAAUCUUGAGUACGAGAGAGGAGAGUGGAAUUCCCAGUGUAGAGGUGAAAUUCAUAGAUAUUGGGAAGAACACCGGCGGCGAAAGCGGCUCUCUGGCUCGAUACUGACGCUGAGACGUGAAAGCGUGGGGAGCAAACAGGAUUAGAUACCCUGGUAGUC
rnacentral:rRNA from 1 species